rnacentral:rRNA from 1 species
AAAAUAAUUAAUUAAUUUUAUUAAUUUUUUAAAAUUUUUAUAAAUAAAAAUAUUUUUAAUUAUAGAUUUGUUUAUGUAUUUUUAAAAGAUAAAAUUUUAUUAUUGAAAUUAAAUUUGUAUAGUGAUAGAUUUUUGAAAAAAAAUUAAAAUUUAUUUUUUAUAAAGUAAAUAUUAUUUAUUGUACCUUGUGUAUCAGGGUUUUUUAAUUAAAAUUUAUAUAUAUAUAUAUAUAUAUAUUAUAAAUAAGUUUCUCGAAUUUAAAAGAUUUAUUUUAAAAUAAUUUUAUGAUUUUUAUUGUAGUAAAAAUAUUUUUAAUAUUAAAAUUGAAAUGAGAUGUUAACGUUUUUAAAGAUAUCUAGUUUUUUAAUAAAUGAAUUUAAUUCAGAUAUUAUUUUUUAAUAGAAAAUUAUUUUUUAAUUUUGAAUUUUAAUAAUAUUAAUAUUUUAAGGGAUAAGCUUUAAAAUAAAAUUUUUAUAAUAUUAAAUAUUUAUUAAAAUUUUAUAUAGGCUUAGAAAUAGUUUUUAUUUUAAUAAUGUUAUAAUUUAAAUUUAAAUUUAGAUUUAUUUUUAUUUAUAUUUAAAUAAUUUAUUAAUAAUUAAUAAUUAAAUAAUAUUUUUAUUGUUAUAAUGAUAAAAUUAGUAAAUUUAAAAAUGUUUAGUUAAUUAAAAAUUUGUUUAUUUUAGUUAAAGUAAUUCGGCAAAAUUUAUUAUUUAAAUUUAAUACUCACCUGUUUAACAAAAACAUGUCUUUUUGAUAUAUAAUUUAAAGUCUAAUCUGCUCUAUGAAUAAAAUUUAAAUGGCCGCAGUAUUUUGACUGUGCAAAGGUAGCAUAAUAAUUAGUCUUUUAAUUAAAGGCUGGAAUGAAAGAUUGAAUGAGGUAUUAUCUGUCUCUAAUUAAUUUUUAUUUUAAUUUAAUUUUUAAGUUAAAAAGCUUAAAUUUUUUUAAAGGACGAGAAGACCCUAUAGAGUUUUAUAUUUAUUUAAAUUUUAUAUAUAAUUUAUUUUUAAUAUUUGAUUAAAUAUUUUAUUGGGGCGAUAGAAAAAUUAAUUAAACUUUUUUAUUAUUUUUACAUAAAUUAAUGAAUAAUUGAUCCUUAUUUUUAGAUUAUUAGAUUAAAUUACCUUAGGGAUAACAGCGUUAUUUUUUUUAGAGUUCUUAUCAAUAAUUAAGAUUGCGACCUCGAUGUUGGAUUAAAAUUAAUUUUAGGUGAAGAAGCUUAAAAUUUUAGGUCUGUUCGACCUUUGAAAUUUUACAUGAUCUGAGUUCAAACCGGUGUAAGCCAGGUUGGUUUCUAUCCUUAAAUAAUUAAAAUUUUUUAGUACGAAAGGACCAAAAUUUUGAAAUAUUUUUAUUUAAUAAUGAUUUUUAUUAAUUAUUUUUUAUUAAA